GCCGGAGUGGCGGAACUGGCAGACGCAGGGGACUCAAAAUCCCCCGGUUCGAGAGGACCGUGUGGGUUCGACUCCCACCUCCGGCA
rnacentral:tRNA from 1 species